rnacentral:rRNA from 1 species
GACGGAGGAUGCAAGCGUUAUCCGGAAUUAUUGGGCGUAAAGCGUCCGCAGGUGGCUAGUCAAGUCUGCUGUCAAAGCGCGGAGCUUAACUUCGUAAAGGCAGUGGAAACUGAUUAGCUAGAGCAUGGUAGGGGUAGAGGGAAUUCCCGGUGUAGCGGUGAAAUGCGUAGAGAUCGGGAAGAACACCAGUGGCGAAAGCGCUCUACUGGGCCAUGACUGACACUGAGGGACGAAAGCUAGGGGAGCGAAAGGG